GACUCUGCUGACGGAAGGCAGGUGGCCUUUGGCUGUCGGGCUCCCUCUGCCGGUUCGCUUUUGGUUCGUGCCCCGUGUCGCCAGCGCCCUGGUGUCCGCCCAUUUGCCAUGAGAGACAGGAAGCCAGAGUUUUGUGCUUUGUUCCUGUAGUUGCAUCCGUGAGGCUAGGAUUUGCUCGUUUGACUUUUCAAUCUGAUAGACUUAUUUAUAACUCGUGUUGGGGGCCCUAAUCCUACUCAAGCGCACCGUGAACCCAUCUUCCGAAAAUGCUCUGCGAGCGGAGCCCUCUGAUCAUCUUAUGUGCACAGUCCUGGUGACGGUUGCCAGCAGAGUUUACGCCACUGUGCACGUUUCCUCUGGCGUUGGAAUAACCCUUGAUGCCCAGCGACUCGGCCGCCACCCAGACGGCGCCUGCUGUCUCCCUGUGCGUUUGCCACCACAGGAGACAGAGCCGGCUCAUCUCGCUCGUCCCGCGUUGCUGCUGCAGGUGUGGAGCGGCCGUCCCCUCCCGAGACACGGUGAUUUCAGUGUGUGUUGUCUUCCGAGGUGAGGCUCCGUGCCCCAGAAAUGUAGCCCUUGGCUGCAGGGCUGCGAGAGCCUGGCAUUGAUGCUGGGUCAGCCCUGUUGUGACUGCAGCCUCGUGGGGAGAGCUGUCGGGUCAGACCGGUCCUGGGUGGGGGUGGGGGGUGAUGACAGGCACGCCGCCGAGCGAGCGAAACAGUGCCCCCCCCCCCCCCCCCCCCCCCCCCCCCUCACAGACCCCGAAGGGCCCCGGGCCAGCACGGCCACGCUCUGUCCUGCAGAACACGGCAAGCGAGUGAACGUCCUGGAAUGGGGUGGGGGGCGGGGGGGGCGCGUGCCCGCCCUACAUGCUGGGAGCUCGUUAAGCAUAGCCGAGUUGGAUUUGGGUGCUCUGAGGGGAAGGAAAAGGUCUGCGGUGCCGCUCCCUCUCCUCUGCAGAAUCCCUUCGUAACUGGUAGGUGUUUGCCACAGAGACCCCAGCGCCCUGUUAGAAUUUACCCCAGGCGAGCAGCCUUGCCUGUCUUGGCUUGUCCUCCGUGGGCCGCGGGUGUGGUGUGCGGCCGUGCCUCCCUCUCUCGAGAACUCCUCCCUGCAACCAGAGCCCCAUUGUUGAAUGCCGCUUCAAAAUCCAUGGUGGAAGACACCUUUACGGGCCGUGACCUUGCUCUGUUCAGUGUCUCCUGAGUGCCCUUUGAGAACCGCCGACCAGGAAGAGAGACUUUUCUAGAGAAUCAGCCAGUUUGCUCAGCAUCAGCCCGCUCAGCAGAUGUGGUCCACAGCUAGGGAAGCCUCCAGAGAAUGAAGGCUGACCCCCCCCCCCCCCGACCACGUCUUCACCCUCAAGCCCUUAUAUGACCAGGGUUAACUUUUGGGGAUGGAGAAUGAUUGGCAUCUGGUCCGUAGGAAUUAGCAAUUUUCAGGGAACACCGUGGGCUCUACUUGGAGCAGAGAGCGCUUUCCGAGACUCACGUAGCAACGGCUGGGGCAGCGCGUGUGUGCGUUGCCUUGACGAACACUCUCCGUUUCUAAAAAGAUACGCUUAUUCCCAAACGCAGAGAAAACAGUCUUCAUUUUCAGAAACUGUAGUUUCUGGCAGGACAUUCUCCUCUGGACUGGUUUCCUCCAGCGGGCAGAGUGAGGGGUGGGCCGCGUGGGCUCGCCCGGCUGCACCCUCGGGUGCUGAGCCCCCACAGUCCCCGUCCGGGGCCCCUGGCUGGUGUCCCAGCCCUGGCCUGGAGCCCGUGCCGCCCCUGGGGAGCGGAGAGGUCACUCUGCUUUCUCGGGUCACGUCUCAUUUGGCGCGUCAAGGACUGUGGGCCAAGCCAGCAGUGAUGGAGUCUGGUCUGUUUCUGUGCCAAUGUCCUCCAGGGGCUGUUAGACGCUGUCACACCUUAUCUGUUGUUUUCCGGAGGAACGUCCCUGUGUGAAGCUGUGGGCUCCUCUGUGGGAGAGCCCGCAGCGAUGUACCCAGGCAAGGUCUCCGUCCUGACAGCUCAGGGCCACACCCGCUUCAGGGACGGAAUGGGCACACGUUGUCUUCAGUUCCAUGGGGCCGAGGUCGCUGCAGGUGCGGCCACUGUCACGGGCUCCCGUCCUCCCACGUUCUUUGCUCCUUUUUGGGGACAUGCAGCGUGAGGCUGGGGGGGCCCUGCUGGCUGUAGGCAAUCCAGGGGUGCCAGGAGCUCGCUGUGGGGGACCGGAGACUGACAUUCCCGCUCGUUCUGCAUUGAUUUUCUGAUGCAAACCUGCUGAGAUUCCCGUGAAGUCCAAACGUGUGGGGCUCUAGCUCAGCCUCCAAGCUCCUGCUGUCCGUGAUCCAACAUCUCCUCCGCCCUACCAGGAGGGGGCCGGGAGAGCCAGGCCGGCCGGCAGCGUGGGACCCAGCCCUCUGCACCACGGCCAGGGCCGGGGCGGAGUUCAGUGCUCUGCACAGCGCUGUGUGUGUCCCAGGGCUGCACCACAAGGGACCACAGACCUGAGGCUUCAAACAGCAGACGUUCACUCUCUCACAGUCUGGAGGCCCCAAGUCCCCAGUCCUGGUGUGGGCAGGGCCCCUCCGGAGGGGCUAAGAGAGGACCCUUCCAGCCUCUGGUGGCUUGUGGCUCAUGGCCACAUCACUGUACCCUCUGCCUCGACCAUCACGUGGCCUCUCUCUUCUGCCUGUUCUCUUCUGAUGACUCUUGUCUCAGGAUGUGAGGCUCACCCAGAGAAUCCAGGAGGAUUUCAUCCUGAGAUCCUUGACUCUGGGGCAUCUGCAAAGAC